rnacentral:lncRNA from 1 species
GUGGUAGCAACUUAGUUUCCAGAAAUGGGAGUGAGUGUUGGUGCAGGGAUGCGCAUAUUUUUAGAAACAAUUCUAGUAAGAAAGCACUUCAGAAGUGGGUGCAAGUUCAUGAUUCGGAAAAGAUUCCCAAGCAGGUGUAUUAUCCUAGGUAUAAGGAUUUGGCUACUAAGGUUAGCAAUACAUUUUGAGUGUCGUAGUAAUUAACUAUUAAUCCUCGUGAUUCAUGCCUCAUGUACAGUAGCAUCUUAAAGGCAAUUCUGUAUGAAUAUCUUUAUGUAACAUGUGUCUCAAACAACGUCAGUGGAACCGUCCCGAACCAGGCGGUUCGGGCUGUUCUGCGUCGUACCGGUGGCUCACCGGUACUACUUCGGCAAUGAAAACGGAAUCCGUUGCCGAAGGCAAAGAAGGAGAAGAAAAAGAAAGUGAGAGAGAGAGCAGGGGAGGGAGGGAGGCCAGUGGAGGAUGGCGGAGGCCGGCGCCAGGCCCUUUCGCGAUUUACACGGCCGUUUUCCUGUUUCGUUCGAAAUAGGGGUCGGCCACUUUUUAAUUUGGCGAUUCGUAAGUAACGUUUCAAUACAAUCUUAACAUUUUAUCUCCACUUUUUCCAACUAAUCUGCAAAUAAUACUUCAAAGUAUAGGGAUAAGCAUAAAUUCUCCAUUGCAAGAGGAUUAAAAAAAUAUAUUUUUUGUUGAAAUGACUAUCAACAUGUAUGGUGAGUAACUACGCACAUGAAUAAGUCAAGCAAUACCAACAUAUUUAAGAGCAAAGAAUAUUAUGGAUGGUUGUAAUGAGCUAAAUACAUAUCUAAUUCAAACAGGUCAGCCCGGUGCAUGAGGAUCCCACCAUUGUGGGUUCAGGGGAGGGUUAGAUGUAUGCAACCUUAGCCCACGAGUAGAGUGGUUGUUUCUGUGUCACAUAUCAAAUCCAAAAAAGGUUGUAUAGAAAUUCUUGGAGAAGUGUUGGGCACACCAUUUGAUAGCAAUAUGAAAUGUGUAUAGGUGUCUGAAGAAUAAAAACAUACAAGUAAAACAGACUGCCACUACCUCUGCAAAGAUAAGUAGGAAGACAAAGAAAACAAAAGCAGAUAAAGCAGUAGCAUAAAUAGUUGAAUGGUUGUAUUAAAUAUUAACGAUAUUAAGCACAUUAUCAAGGAAAAGUCAAAGUGGACAUCCUUAUUUAAUACCAGCUCCAGUGAAAUUUAUAUGCUCAUACAACUUCUGCAUAAAAGAGGCUCUGAAAAAGAAGCAACUUAAAGUUGUCACAAACCCUGGUCAGCUUCUCAGCUAGCAGUAUUAGAAGAGAAGUGCAGAGAAACCUAUUUAUGGAACUAGGAUGGUAUAGCAACGUGCAAUUUGGUCCAGAGGACAGUUUUGGAUAUUUUUCCAGUUGUCUUCUAUGACCUCAUUGCACAUAAAAGAAGGAAGAGAAUAGACAACAGGGGAGGAAAAAGGAAUCUGUGCAAGACCGAAACUUUUUACUGAAGUAAAAAAGAAGCAGAAAAUAUAUUAAAGAAAAAAAAAUAUGUGGCUAGAAGCAAGUAGAUUCAAAACCCUUAAAAAUGUAAUAAAUUCUAAACCCCAGAGUACAAUCCCGAAUCUUGAACAACCAAAAUAGAAGACUUGAGAAUUUGG